UAUUUUUUAAGGUAUUUAGUACAUAUUUAUGUAUGCUUCCAAUGAAAGGAGCAGAUUUAACGCAACUUGUCGGUUAUGCAGCAGCUCAGUGCGCAUCCUGCUCAAUCCCAGCCACCCAUCAAUCAUUCCAUUUGGCGGAUCGGAAGGAGGAGCAGGCAGGAAGAGGACCAGAAACAGGAGCAGGAACAGGAACUGGAACAGGAUUAGGAACAGGAGUUCACCCACAUGUGUACGCACACGCGACUAUAUGCAGUGAUAGAUGUGUGUUUGUGUGCGCCUGCUAUUUGUCGCCCUUUGUGAUAGCAAUCAAAUCGAAUCAUAUCCCGUUCCGUCUAUCGACUUCCCACACCCACACCGAAUCCCAAUCCCACACCCAUUCCCUGGCCGUUUUGCCCCGUAAUAGAAUCUCCUGCUGCAGCGUCAAGGUUGUAAAUGUAAUCAUUUGUCUGCUCCACGGACUUUGGUCCUAAUCGAAUUGCCAGACGGCUUGGCUCCCCAAAAGUAAGCAUCCUCAUAGCCAUCUUUGGCCAGGACUACUCACGCUUCUGGUCGCAUUUGUUUUCGCCACACAAAAGCGAAACCAAGUGACAGACGGAGGCGAAUCAAAUCGAAUGAAAGUAUACGUUUCUAUUUGCUUGUGAUUUCUGACUCCACCUAAGGCCCAUCCUCCUCCUCCGCCUCCUGGGUAUGUGUCAAUCACACGGUGGCUUUCAUAAUGAGGUGGAGCAGUCCCAGCCAGUCGAAGAUUUUGCGGCCUGGCAUGGGGAUGUUGUGCAAAGGGACACCACCCCAAGCAUUGCUCAAUCGACUGCGACCGGAUGCCAUCCUCAGUCCUCAGCCCUCAGCCAAAUGGGAUAAAUAUAGCUCUGAGCUGUAGUUAACUCUGAUUGCAAUGGGAUACCACUAAAUCUGGCUGGGGCUGAAUCCAAUGACUUGACAAUGAAAGUGCCCAAAAAAACGUGGCCACAUUUAAGGCACUGUGGUACAGUGGUUCAUAGAAAGACAGCUCUUUCGCUAAUCAUCAAAUAUAAUGCAUGGGCAGAAAGAAGCACAGAAACUGGCCAAAGAUCCAGUUCUGGAUGAGCAUGACCAUCAGCGAGACGGGCAGGACGAGGGCGCACUGGACAAAAUGGCAUAGGGCCAGAUUGAUGAUGAACGCAUGGGUCACAUCCUUGUAAAGUCGAUGGUACAUUAUGUACACCACGAUGAUCACAUUGAGCACCACGCCCAGUAGGGCGAGAGCUGCGUACUGGAUGAGAAACAGCCAAUAGACCGACUUGAUGCUGGACUUUAGGAUGGGACCACUAAGUCGCUCCAUGUCAACCGUGCCAUUGGAAUGCCAGUCGAGGAAGUGCGAGAGUGCCGUCACAUAUUUGUCGGGCACAUCCUUCAUUUUCUCGCCACUGCCGCCGGCAUCUCCUCCGGAUCCACCGCCUCCAUAUCCUCCCAGUCCUCCGCCGCCGCCGCCGCCGCCUCCUCCUCCUCCUCCUCCUCCUGCUCCUCCACUGCUUGCCGCCAACUGGUAGGCAUCCGAUACUCCGACCAAGCGAAGUUGCUCAGCUGGCGACAUCCUCACCACCUGCAAUGGAAAAUCAAGAAGAGAUUGUUCCGUAAAUUAGGCGCACUGUAUUCGGUAUCUAUAAUAGGAAAUCUUUCAGUGAUUGCAGUCUAUAAGAAAACAAUAGCUAAACUAAUUGAUUGUUUAUGGGUAAACCAAUCUGUGUACGCCUAACAAAAAACACAUAUCUCAAACUGAUUGUCUGAUGGUCUGUGAUUUGACGAUCUGAAGUUGGAAAACCUUUGCGCUACCAGAUGGAAAACUGCAGACAUGAGAACAUACAAUGCGUAUACUUAACAAUUUGGCUU
ensembl:ncRNA asRNA:CR43842 antisense RNA:CR43842